rnacentral:lncRNA from 1 species
UUUAAAAAAGAUAUCAAUUGCUAUAAAUUCAUAGUGCUAUAGUAUGCUUUUAACAUAGAAAAAUGUGUACAGUGUAACUUUUUGAUAAUUAUGGGUUAUAAAAGUGUGAAUUAGUUUUUAGGUAUUUAAUAUUUUGUGAAGGCAUGAAAAUUUUAAAAAUUGUCGGAAUCACUUAAAAUGUGGUAGCAUUAAUGAAUUGUAUGCUGUUCAAGGGAAACUGUAGGUUAAGAGUGGGAUAAAUAUAUGAGGGUAAACUACCUUUGAGUUACACUUCAAGCUCACUUUCAAUUACUCUUGUAUAUUAGGUGCAAACUUUUACCUUUAAAUUGCAAAGACUGAUGGAAAUAUGUAGUAGAGUGUAUGUUUUGUGGUAAGAAAGAGGAAGGAGGUGAGAUUAACACUUAUCUAAUUGUCUUUCUUCCCUUUUUAGCAAUAUUUGUGUGAGUAGAAAGUGCAAACCCAUGAAAGUAUUGGACCUUUGAAAUGGCAAAUUAUUGUUCCUCUGAAAAGAUGCAGAAGAUGCUGUGCUGUGCAGACCAAAGCAGUCUAAAGCAAGAGUUUGGGCUCUGAACCACCGGAAAUGAUGUCACCUCUCCAUAUCCAUCAGUACUCAUCAAUGGUCUCCAAUAAUAGAACACAGCAACUUGGGUUUCCUGACUUUAUUGGAUCUCAGACUUCAUAUUUCCCCUCCCCCAAAUCAGAGAAGAAAAUGGCCUGAAAGCACAAAACAUGGAGGUAAGACAUGAUGAAAUUAUUUAUAGAAGAAUAAAUAUUGCACUGAGUUGAGGAUGGAAUAUUAAUGAGUUUGGUUGAGAAUUUAAGUCAAAGCCAGUUCUUUCUUAUGACUGUUGUUAACAAUAAUCAUUUCCAAUAUUACACGGC